UACGAAGGGGGCUAGCGUUGUUCGGAUUUACUGGGCGUAAAGCGCACGUAGGCGGCUCGUUAAGUCGGGGGUGAAAUCCUGGAGCUCAACCCCAGAACUGCCUUCGAUACUGGCGAUCUUGAGUCCGGAAGAGGUGAGUGGAACUCCGAGUGUAGAGGUGAAAUUCGUAGAUAUUCGGAGGAACACCAAAGGCGAAGGCAGUGUCCUGGGGAGUACCUGACGCUCAGGUGCGAAAGCCAGGGGAGCGAACGGG
rnacentral:rRNA from 1 species